GUCCUGCCUCUGGUGCCCUUUUUUCGGUACCUACCUUUUCCCAGGCCAGAGGUAGCCCCUGUGAUCACAACCACUGCUCCCUGGAGAUUUCUCUAGAACAGCCAGUACCACAGUAUCUACAUGCCAGAGACCAGUUACUGUGUGUUAUCCCACAUGGAUAGAAGCCAGUCUAUCUUCUGGAGAGGCAGAGUAAGUUUUCUCUCUGAGCACAUUAUUUGCUUAAUGCACUGAAAUCUCUGCUUCCAUCUCCAGUGUCUUUCACCACCCGUCAGGAGAGACAAGUUAUCAGAUUUAAAUGAACCACAUGUCCAGUCUAGUAGGCUAAAGUCUACAUCCAUGUUCUUUACUUUUAAGCCAACGUUAAUUGUGCAGUUUAACAGCAUGAACCUGUGUUCUAAUAUACUGGAAUGAAACCCGAGCUAAAGGUAUCUACGAGACCUAGCUCAUCCUGGAAUUGGAUUCUGAUACCAAUGCACAGCUCUGAUCUCCUUGCUUAAACCAUUCCCUUCAGGGGAGUAGUUUAUGUUACAGCUUACUACAUGUCCAAGGAGUAAGUGAUACUUCUGCUGUAAAAAAGGUCACUGAUUUUCCCACUGUAUAUACCCCUAAGCUUUUAUGCUUGAUGUCACAGUACAGUUAGUUACAACCCCUUCCUGGAAUCUGUACAACUUUUAGGGCACACACAAAGUCAAACCCAAAUAUUAGUACAUCUUCCUUGUUGUGCAGAUAAGAGUUUGAACUCUUGCAGUUUGACCUGUGAGAUAGGCCUUUACCAGGAAGAUAUCGGAAAGGUCCAGGCACACAACUGCUUCAAACAAAAGGACAGCACAAGUAGCAGAAAACAAGAGGUAACUAAUAAUGCUAAGCCAGAAGUCAGUGACAUUAAGUAGGACUGAGCUUGUAUGGAGCUAAAGGGGUGACAGAGGCUCUGCACGCCGUGGAACACAGCUGAAGUGGAAAAUGUCAGGCUCUUCCAGAUUUCCAGCAGGGACUUGGACAGAUUUCCUCACGUAGCUGGUCAGUGAACAGACUAGCUUGCUGAACCAGUAGUGAACUGUAUAAAAUAAGUAUUUCUGGAGUUAUAGCUAGAACACAAUAAAAUACACAUAAAGACAGCUGAGCUAGCUCUAAAUAAGCUUGACAAGGCCUAAAAAUAAAGCCAAGUUAGUACACAGCUCUUCUCAAGGUACUGUGGAGCUUCCCAUUCAUGAGCUAACUCAUGUAUCGACAAAGUACUUCACUGUGUAAUACGCUGUACAUAAUGCAGCUAGACAUCCAGGCCACAAGCUCCCCCGGGCGUAGGGAGUGUGCCCAAAGUGGGAAGUCAGGAACCCAAAAGGAGGAUUAAACUCAUUCUGUUGCAAAGCAGUGCAUGAGCACAGCACCCAGCUGCUCAGACCAGUGUCUUAUUUUUCCACCUCUUUGUGCUGAGUGCGCAUAAAGAGCGUAUAUUUUGUACUGAUUUACAGCAGAGGACUGGUAGAGCUGAUUUAACGUAAGAGUGUGUAUUGCCCCUGAAAUAAUUCCUGGGAAAGAGCUGUUUAGACACAAGGCCACCUUUAGGCUGGAUAAUCAGGAGGUUCUCCUUACUGGUUCAUGUUCAGCUUGUCAUUUAAAGCAGCUGCCCUCUUUACAUUGUCCUUUUUAUUUUGCUCUCAAAGGUCCCUCAAGGUUCAGAAGACAAGAUGUGGGCAGGGACAACAGCUGCUGUGCUGACACUGAGCAGCGUGGCUUACAGGACUUUCUGGAAUCAAAAAUGUUCAGCUCCCAUUUAGGACCUUUUGUUAUUUCCAAAGUGGGAGCUGACAGGUGGUGUGGCACUUCCUUCAUGAGCCCAGGUUGAAGCUCAGGCAUUUUAAAAAUCUGGCCCUGACCACCUUUGCUUCUGAUUUCAUUAAAAUGCAGACGAGCAGUGUAAAGCAGAUUAAAAGGUAACUGGGAAGAUGAGGUUUUUCUGACAGCUUUUCUAACUAAACCACACUGGGAGAUGGGAGGGAGUGCCGUGUUUGAUUACAGCACAGUUCUUCCACAUUCUUCGGCAAAAAUAAAUGUUGAGUUUGCAAGGACUGAACUCUCUGCCACAGGGGCUGGCGGAAGAGAGCCCCCAUCUUACCAACUAAAAGCUAACCGUGUUUUGGUCAGGUAGCAUCCACGGCUCAUCAAUACGAACGAGUUAUGCCUGAUGAACAUAUUCCUUAAUCAUUUCACUUAUUCUUCUACUUUCUAAACACAGAAGGUCUGCUUUUAAUCGUUUUUCAUUUGAAAAAUCUUUCCUAGCCUUUUAAUGUUUUUCUUUUCUCUUCCCCGCCCCCCCAUGUUACAUACAGGAACUGGGCAAAUUACCCAAUCUCUGCCCGAAGGCUGCAGCAAGCCACAAACCCCGUCAGCAGCAACAACUUGCUUCUGCAGCUUCCAGGAUAGAGUUUGAAUCAACAGCAACAAGAUUCUUGAGAACUUUAAGCACAACCGAACAGACAAAUAAGUUUCUCAUCACAUUCUGCGUCAAACUGGUAUUUUCUAGGGGAACGGGCAUUCCCUCCAGCAGACCAAAUUCACUAAAUCCCUCAUAAGCCACAAGGAGAAACGUGAGCAUGACUUGGUAUCAGCUGAACAGUUUUACUGACCCAACUGCUUUGGAAAGAAACUGAAAUCAAACUUCCAGACAUCUAAGCCAGGAAAAAAAAAAAAAAAAAGUCAUAUAGCAUUGUCUGUUAAAUCAAUGGUUUAAUAUAAGCCAAUGGGAAAUCUGCUGACAAUUUCUUUGAUGCACAAGAUCCCCAUAAAUGGUAAAUUAAACUUUAAAAAACUCAUUCAAAACCCAAUGAGAAAAAACUGUGACUACAUUGAUUCCAACAAUCGAAUUACUGAAAUGCCAGUCUGCACUUACGUAAUCAGCUUCCACUCCAAGCUUUAUGAGCAGAAAAUAACGUCAAAAAAAUACACUGGGGUCAUCAGAAACCGGUAAAACUCCCAAGAGGGAACUGGACAGAGCUGCUCACUACAAUACCACCAUUUCAAACGGAGAAGGGGUUCAGGAGAAGGCACACAGUAACCCAGCUGGAAUUCUCAAAAGAAGCAACGGCGACUGGUAUUAUGAAGAGUGCUGCAGAAGCGCCAGGCUUCACUGCAAGCAGCUGCCAACAACCAACAAGUGUGGGAGGUUGCUGAGGGGUAGGUAAGUAUCUGCCGUAAUAUUCUGAAUUAACUUUUUCUAGCACGAUUUGAACAAGCGGUACUUGAAGCAAUGCCUAGGAAAACCAUCUGUGGUAUUUCAGCAGUCGUUCAAGGGCAACCCGCUUGUGUUUUUACGUAACUGUCACGCAGAACAACCACUUCACCCCGUGGUACAGGAAGAGGGGAAAAAAUAUGUUUCCAGCACCCAAAAAACCAGACUGGACUUGAGAAAUCUUCUCAUAAAUUUUCCUGCCACUUUCAUUCAGUUUCAAGCUUCAUUUCCAACCCUCCCGCAUGAAAAUCCUCUUACUGGUGCUUGGGACACAAAGAAAGGUGAAGAUGGAAAAACUGCGCGCGACAGGACCCCGUGCUCUACGUGACUGUAAGGAACAAUGGACGGCGAAUUCCUGUAAAAGGAGAAAAGGAGGCAUUUUGGCAGAGUCCCCUUCAAAGCCAUGAUCAGGGGAAAUGCGAUUUCUCAGUGUUUAAAUGUGCAGUGAUGCUCACAGGCUGCAGUGGUUGUAUGGACGCGUUUCAGUUCGUCCGUGAUGAAGCAGGGCCCGAAGGUGGUACAGUUCUGUAGCUUUAAAGCUCCUCAUGGAGGUAAUGGCACUGAUACAGGGCCACAGAGCCUUGCCAGGCUGUAGCACAAAUCUGACCAGGCCUUUGGAAACCCAAGGCCCCAACGAUCUCAAAAGUCCAAAGGACUUAGGGGUGUGAGGAGCCUUUGCCCUGAGGAAGGAAAGGGCACCUGGCUUCAGCCCAGCACAGGGAGCUUUUCUGCCUGUUUGUUACGGUGUGCGUGAGCAGAAGAUACAUUUACAGAGGCAGCUGGAAAUAUUUUAGCAUUAUCCAGAGACAAAGGCAAUUAAUUGCAGAUGUCUUUUCCCUGUGAACAGCAGGGAGAUAAAGGGUAGCUUUUUAUGACAGCUAUUUGAAAAACAGGUUUAUCCUAAGUUUUUAAGAUAACAAUGUUCUGCUCCUCUCUUCUCAUAAGGAAAAUACACUGAAGUUGUGAAUCCAUUUCACUAAGUUUGCCAUUCGUAAGGGAUCGAUAUUUCAGGAAAAAAGGAGGAAAUAAUUCAAGAUCUUCCUAAAAA